rnacentral:snoRNA from 1 species
AAGACUAUACUUUCAGGGUUCAUUUCUAUAGUUUGUGACUAGAGAAGUCUCUCUGAAUGUUGUAGAGCACCCGAAACCCCAAGGAGGAGACGUAGUAUUCUCUCCUGAGCCUGAAGCUGGCUCUUGGUGUUGCUUCAGCAACUGCCAUUUGCCAUUGAUGACUGUUCUUCUCUCUCUCUUUGGGAGAGUAAGAGAGAGAGAACACCGUCUGAGUGGU